GACGAACGCUGGCGGCGUGCUUAACACAUGCAAGUCGAACGGAAAGGCCCUGCUUUUGUGGGGUGCUCGAGUGGCGAACGGGUGAGUAACACGUGAGUAACCUGCCCUUGACUUUGGGAUAACUUCAGGAAACUGGGGCUAAUACCGGAUAGGAGCUCCUGCUGCAUGGUGGGGGUUGGAAAGUUUCGGCGGUUGGGGAUGGAUUCGCGGCUUAUCAGCUUGUUGGUGGGGUAGUGGCUUACCAAGGCUUUGACGGGUAGCCGGCCUGAGAGGGUGACCGGCCACAUUGGGACUGAGAUACGGCCCAGACUCCUACGGGAGGCAGCAGUGGGGAAUAUUGCACAAUGGGCGGAAGCCUGAUGCAGCAACGCCGCGUGCGGGAUGACGGCCUUCGGGUUGUAAACCGCUUUCGCCUGUGACGAAGCGUGAGUGACGGUAAUGGGUAAAGAAGCACCGGCUAACUACGUGCCAGCAGCCGCGGUGAUACGUAGGGUGCGAGCGUUGUCCGGAUUUAUUGGGCGUAAAGGGCUCGUAGGUGGUUGAUCGCGUCGGAAGUGUAAUCUUGGGGCUUAACCCUGAGCGUGCUUUCGAUACGGGUUGACUUGAGGAAGGUAGGGGAGAAUGGAAUUCCUGGUGGAGCGGUGGAAUGCGCAGAUAUCAGGAGGAACACCAGUGGCGAAGGCGGUUCUCUGGGCCUUUCCUGACGCUGAGGAGCGAAAGCGUGGGGAGCGAACAGGCUUAGAUACCCUGGUAGUCCACGCUGUAAACGGUGGGUACUAGGUGUGGGGUCCAUUCCACGGGUUCCGUGCCGUAGCUAACGCUUUAAGUACCCCGCCUGGGGAGUACGGCCGCAAGGCUAAAACUCAAAGGAAUUGACGGGGCCCCGCACAAGCGGCGGAGCAUGCGGAUUAAUUCGAUGCAACGCGUAGAACCUUACCUGGGUUUGACAUGGAUCGGGAGUGCUCAGAGAUGGGUGUGCCUCUUUUGGGGUCGGUUCACAGGUGGUGCAUGGCUGUCGUCAGCUCGUGUCGUGAGAUGUUGGGUUAAGUCCCGCAACGAGCGCAACCCUUGUUCACUGUCGCCAGCACGUUAUGGUGGGGACUCAGUGGAGACCGCCGGGGUCAACUCGGAGGAAGGUGGGGAUGACGUCAAGUCAUCAUGCCCCUUAUGUCCAGGGCUUCACGCAUGCUACAAUGGCUGGUACAGAGAGUGGCGAGCCUGUGAGGGUGAGCGAAUCUCGGAAAGCCGGUCUCAGUUCGGAUUGGGGUCUGCAACUCGACCUCAUGAAGUCGGAGUCGCUAGUAAUCGCAGAUCAGCAACGCUGCGGUGAAUACGUUCCCGGGGCU
rnacentral:rRNA from 1 species